GCUGCCCACCGAAAGGGAAAGAAAACGGUUUUGUAAACCGUCGGUCUUCGGUUCAAAUCCGAAAGUCGGCUCCA
rnacentral:tRNA from 1 species